rnacentral:rRNA from 1 species
UACAUAGGUCUCAAGCGUUGUUCGGAUUCAUUGGGCGUAAAGGGCGCGUAGGUGGCGUUGUAUGUCAGGUGUGAAAUUUCGGAGCUUAACUCCGAAACUGCAUUUGAUACUGCGGUGCUUGAGGACUGGAGAGGAGACUGGAAUUCACGGUGUAGCAGUGAAAUGCGUAGAGAUCGUGAGGAAGACCAGUGGCGAAGGCGGGUCUCUGGACAGUUCCUGACACUGAGGCACGAAGGCCAGGGGAGCAAACGGG